UGCCUGGCCUGCUGUGGUCUAGACCCUCCCAGGCCUCCAGGCCAGGGGGCAGAGCCGGCCCUGCCAGCAGGCCCAGAACCCAGCAGAGAGGUUACGGCCUGCUCUGGGCCCAGUGAGACCAGAGGGCAGUGAGAGAGAAGGCCCAGGACAGAGGGGACCCGUGAGGUCCCUAGUGGGCCUGGACUCCACCAAGACUAAAGGCCCAGGGAUCGGGGGGCCAGGGCCAGAGGGCUCACAGAUCAACCAGCUGAACCUCGACCUUCCAGAGGCCCCGAGAUCCCCACAGGGAGGAUGACAGAUACCUCUGUAAGGUCUUGCAAAGCAACAGGGCCUCACGGGGGCCAUCUUGCCCGGUCCCCACAGUCACCCGCACGCAGCCCUCUCACGACAGGAGCUCCUGUCUCCUCGCCUCCUACUGUGUGCUGGGGACAGUGCCAACUGUUCUUCAGACAGGAUUCCACUGGCUUCCGGCCAUGCCGAACAGAUGGCUAAGUGGCACGGAGGAGCCUUCCCCUCUGCAGAUCUGUCAAUCAGAACAUCCACAUCAAUCAGAACCAGCACCUUCCUCCAUCAUCCACUCUUUGGCAAAAUAGGCGGGAAGGUGGACAGGCUUCUGAGAGCACUUCCCGCAGUACUGGUCCACCCAAGCUGCCCAAAUGAUGAGGAUCCUCACAGCCACCUGACACUGAGCAUGGACACUCCACCAAGGGAGUAAUGCGCAUCGACCCCUGAGUCCUCACGACACCCUCAACUUAUUUCCAUGGUACAGGUGCAACGAUGGGGAGUGAGGGGUCUACUCUUAAAUUACCCAUCAGGAAGCAGGUAAGGCGAUUCUGAGUUCCCUACGUGCUUCCCAACAAAAGGAGCCUUGCCGGGCCACCGCUAAGGGAGAGGACACACACCAAAACCGCAGGGGACCAUUGGCAGUGCUGUGUGACCGUGAUAGGAAAAUAUCCACGAGGAACUCGAGAGCAUAUUGUGAAUUGGACUCGGAGGGGGAAAAAACCCUCGGAAAUUAUGUACACACACAGAUUUACGUGUGAACCUACAUGUGAAGGUUUACCUGGAGGCUGUCUUUUUACACUCUCUGUGGAGGCACCUGCGACAAACCUGUCUCCCUGCGGGGGAGGGGGCCCCCACCCCUCACCCGCCCCUUUUUUUUCACAGGCCCAUCCCCCAGGAGGCCUGGCUCGCUCAGACCUCCACUCCUUGGAAGCCUUUCCGGAUUACCGCUGUGUGGUGAAAACAGACCACCCCACCCCCAUUCCCGGGUCUGAAAUUCCACCACUAGAAUCAGAGCCAUAGAAUUUCAAAGUUGGAAUGGACCUCCGAGCUCCGAUCCAACCCCCACCCCACAGAGGAAUCCUGUCCGCAGACACCCUGACAGAUGGCCACAGUGCGGUUGUCCUCUCCAGUGCUAGGAGGGCAGCCUUGCUCUGUGCCCCUGGCACCGCUCGAAUCUAGAAGGAAUUCACCUUCCCAAGGCCGGCUUUCUACCGCGGGCCCCGUGCCUGGGAUGGGCAGCAGGCUCGGUCAGCCUGAGCCUGAGCCUGAGCCUGAGCAUGAGCCUGAGCCGGGAGCCAUGCGCUUGAGGAGGAGCUGAAGCCUGAGUACCGACCGAGCAGCUGGACAAGAGUGCAGAGAGGGAGCCAGAGCCCAAAGAAGUGGGGCCAGGGAAGGGAGGCAGGCAGGCAGGUGCCAGACCCGAAGCGCAAGUUUGCCGCCCGGGUGCAGCACAUGUACACACAUGCACUCCCAGGCCCGCAGCCUCACACUUUCACGGAGAUGCCUGUCAAACAGCCCAACGACGGCCUCAACGGGACCUGGAGGCGGAGGGGGACCACCUUGCCCCAGAAACCUAACAGGAACUCCUGACAACCCAAGCCUCCGGACCGGCAGCUGAGGAGAGCACCAGAAGAGAGCCCCUGCCAGCAGAGACGGCAGCCCUAAGGGGGUCCCUCCGCCUGACAGCUGGGCUCCCCAGAGCCCACAGGCCAGUCCUCACUCCAGCAACGCCGAAGGAGAAAAGCCUCCCCGGCUGCAGCUGUCACAUCUGCCUGCAAGGGAGGAGGCACAGCUAGAGCAGCACCUGAUCCCAGGAUCCCUGCAGAGCCCGCCAGCCCAGGAGGCCGGAGGCCGCUUCAGCCGCUGGCAGCCCAGGGUGAAACCUGAAGACUCAACAGUCCCCCAGGGAUGCUGAUGGCAGCCUCCGGGCACGGGCGCCCGGCGAGGGGCAAGCGGGGUCACAGGGCAG